AACGUAGGAGGCGAGCGUUAUCCGGAUUUACUGGGCGUAAAGAGCUUGUAGGCGGUUUGUCGCGUCUGCUGUGAAAAUCCGGGGCUCAACCCCGGACUUGCAGUGGGUACGGGCAGACUAGAGUGUGGUAGGGGAGACUGGAAUUCCUGGUGUAGCGGUGAAAUGCGCAGAUAUCAGGAGGAACACCGAUGGCGAAGGCAGGUCUCUGGGCCACUACUGACGCUGAGAAGCGAAAGCAUGGGGAGCGAACAGGAUUAGAUACCCCCGUAGU
rnacentral:rRNA from 1 species